rnacentral:tRNA from 1 species
GGGACUGUGGCUCAGUGGCAGAGCGCUCACCUGGUAUGUGAGAGGCACUGGGCUCAGUCCUC